UACGAAGGGGGCUAGCGUUGCUCGGAAUUACUGGGCGUAAAGGGCGCGUAGGCGGACAUUUAAGUCAGGGGUGAAAUCCCAGAGCUCAACUCUGGAACUGCCUUUGAUACUGGGUGUCUUGAGUGUGAGAGAGGUAUGUGGAACUCCGAGUGUAGAGGUGAAAUUCGUAGAUAUUGGGAAGAACACCGGUGGCGAAGGCGGCUCACUGGCUCGUAACUGACGCUCAUGCACGACAGCGUGGGGAUCAAACAGG
rnacentral:rRNA from 1 species